rnacentral:tRNA from 1 species
GGGAAGGUGGUUCAGUAGUAGAGUGCUUGCCUUACAUGCAAGCGACCCUGGGUUCGAUUCCUCAGUUCCA